UCGACGAUGUUACUCUGAGUAAAUUAGAGUGUUCAAAGCAAGCUGUCGCUCUGAAUAUGAUAGCAUGGGAUAACACGACAGGACUCUGGCCUAUCGUGUUGGUCUGUAGGACCGGAGUAAUGAUUAAGAGGGACGGUCGGGGGCAUUCGUAUUCCAUUGUCAGAGGUGAAAUUCUUGGAUUUAUGGGGGACGAACASUUGCGAAAGCAUUUGCCAAGGAUGUUUUCAUUGAUCAAGAACGAAAGUUGGGGGCUCGAAGACGAUUAGAUACCGUUGUAGUCUCAACCAUAAACGAUGCCGACUCGGGAUGGGCGGGUGUUUAUUUGAUGACCCCGCCAGCACCGUAUGAGAAAUUAAAGUUUCUGGGUUCCGGGGGGAGUAUGGUCGCAAGGCUGAAACUUAAAGGAAUUGACGGAAGGGCACCACCAGGCGUGGAGCCUGCGGCUCAAUUUGACUCAACACGGGAA
rnacentral:rRNA from 1 species